rnacentral:tRNA from 1 species
GGCCGGUUAGCUCACUCGGUUAGAGCAUGGUGCUGCUAACACCAAGGUGGUGGGUUCAAUCCCCGUUCGAUCCC